UUAUGGCCAUAUUAUGUUGAAACACCAAUUCCCAUAUGAUCACCAAAGUUAAGCAUUGUCGAGCCUGGUCAGUACUGAGAUAGGUCACAACUUAGGAAUACCAGGUGCU